UCACAUUUCUAACUCCAACUGCUCACUUCCCCUCCUUGGCAUAUCCUCACCUUCACAGCUCAGUUCUUUUUCUCUCUUUUCAACCCUUCUUUCAACUCUCACCCCCAACCCUCUCACCCCUUUGGAAUAACAAGUUAUUUCCUCUUUCAUUUCCUCUUACAGAAGAUGUUUUUGGACCCAUUCCAGAAAGUCUUUGGCAUGAAAGCGUACCCAUGCGGUUCUGAGUUUCCUUUGGGCACAUUUCCAGAGGUGUUUCAUCGGCCUGGAGCCCUCCGCCUUCACACCAAGUUAAGCCUGGCUCUGUCAAUCAUGUUCGUCAUCCCUCCAGCAUUCCUGGUCAUCCAGAAGGAAGUUAGACAGUUGCAUCUAAACUGGAAGGAAAUUCGUGUCAAAAUUUCUGACUAAAAUUAAGUGUUUUCUACUUCUAGAAUUAGGAAAGUUAUGGGGCUAAUCAUAUUAAUUUGUCCUUUCAUGUGUAUUAGAGAGUUAUUAUCCUCUAUGACUAAUAAAACAGACUAAAAACUUUA